ACUCCUACGGGAGGCAGCAGUGGGGAAUAUUGCACAAGUGGGGAAACCCUGAUGCAGCCAUGCCGCGUGUGUGAAGAAGGCCUUCGGUUGUAAAGCACUUUCAGUAGGGAGGAAGGUAGUGUAGUUAACACCUGCAUUAUUUGACGUUACCUACAGAAGAAGCACCGGCUAACUCCGUGCCAGCAGCCGCGGUAAUACGGAGGGUGCGAGCGUUAAUCGGAAUUACUGGGCGUAAAGCGCAUGCAGGCGGCCUGUUAAGUCAGAUGUGAAAGCCCGGGGCUAACCUCGGAAUUGCAUUGUAAACUGGCAGGCUAGAGUCUUGUAGAGGGGGUAGGGAAUUUCUAGGUGUAGCGGUGAAAUGCGUAGAGAUCUGAAGGAAGU
rnacentral:rRNA from 1 species